rnacentral:rRNA from 1 species
AAUGAACGCUGGCGGCAGGCCUAACACAUGCAAGUCGAACGAGUGGCGGACGGGUGAGUAAUGUCUGGGAAACUGCCUGUUGGAGGGGGAUAACUACUGGAAACGUUAGUUAAUACCGCAUACCUUCGGAUGUGCCCAGAUGGGUUUAGCUAGUAGGUGGGGUAACGGCUCACCUAGGCGACGAUCACUAGCUGGUCUGAGAGGAUGACCGGCAACAAUGGAACGUGGACACGGUCACGACUCCUACGGGAGGCAGAAGUGGGGAAUAUUGCACAAUGGGCGCAAGCCUGCUGCAGCAAUGCCGCGUGUAUGAGGAAGGCCUUCGGGUUGUAAAGUACGUUCAGCGGGGAGGCGUUAACCGCAGAAGAAGCACCGGCUAACUACGUGCCAGCAGCCGCGGUAAUAC